CUUCACAUGUAUGAAACUUGAAAAACUGUUAGACCCAGAGAGACCCAUACAAUAUGAUAAAAUGCUUACCGCUUUACGUUGUCAUUAUGGUAAAGAUCACAGAGUAAGUAAAUAGAACUGGCUCAGCUAAUUCUAAGUUUGAAUGCUCGGCAUAUAACCAGCUUGGCUCUAGGGCUAGCCUAAUUCUUAGGCAGUCGCCUUAAGGCCCCGGCCCAAAAGAAAGGCCCGCCGCAAAGAGAAAAAGAAGUUGAAAUAAAAUGAAUUCCGGAGAGGGAAGGGGAGGAGGGCCGCUUUUUCGGAAGGGAUUCCCGCUGAGAGAGGGUCUGGAGUUGCUGGUCGAGCUACGGAAGCGCUUUCGGAGCCUUCUCCCGAUCGAUUUCGAACUGGCUUUCUUAUUUCUCUGCGACACCACUCGGAGGAGGAGAAAUACCACAAGGAGGACCAUGGACCACCAUAAGGAGGAAGGGCACAAGGAAGGCAUCGUCAAAAAGAUCAAGGAGAGGAUCCACGGCGGAGAUGAGCACGACCAAAAGAAAGAGAAAAAGGAGGAGAAGAAGCAUGGCGAGGGCCAUGACUGCGACACCAGAGUAGCGACAGCGACUAGAUCCGCAUAUUAUAAAGAGUUCCAGAAGUGGAUCUAUGAGAGCAAUGGUGGAGGAGCCAAUGUUGUGGUUCCUGGCUACACUAAGGGUGAUGGCUUGGGUGCAGAGAUCAUUGGCACCUUUGUCCUUGUCUACACUGUCUUCUCUGCCACCGAUGCUAAGAGGAAUGCUAGGGACUCUCAUGUGCCUGAGAGAUAUCACCACUGUUGCCACGAAGCUGUCGGUAUGUACCGACGUGCAGCGAGUACUCAAUGCAGGCAUAUAAGAAGUAUGGUGUUGCAAAGGGUACAAUCUUGACAGCUUGGCGUCUCUGCCGUUGCAACCCUCUUGGUAUCUUUCUUGGAACGUGACCAAAAUUGGUGGUCAUGGAUUUGAUCCUCCAAGGUGGUUUGAUGAGGGAGAACCAUUUGAUCAAUGAUAAAUAUUUUGUGGUAGUUGACAAAAAGUAUGUGUGCAUAUUGCAUCUUCAUCAGUGGCAUGUAGUCAUGGCUCUGCUUGAUAAUUAUUACUUCACUACUUAUCUAUAACUUGACUCAUGCUAUUUUACUUGUUGAGGUGUUCACGCACUGUAUGCUCCUGAUUUUUUUUUACUGGUAUGUGUGUUCUGCGAUCUUGCUGCUUUUCUUCUUCCAUUAUAGUUUCAACUGGCAGCUUGCUGGAGAUGGUAAGAGGGAGUUAUCUCUCCUUUUUAUUUUCUUGUGGGAGCAGUAGAUGUGAUCUUGAUCUGAGACCAUGGACUACAAUUGAAAUUACUGAUGCACAAAGUUUUGCCAUCUCUAGAGCUAGCAACCUCUCUGGCAAGUGAUUAAUGGCCUCUCUUUCUGCCCCUUUAUCUGUUAUGUGAUUUAUUACUGUAAACCCGAUCUGGCUGGACCACCAACUGCGAUGCACAAAUAUAAGAACCUCUCUUCAUUGUUUUCCUUU